rnacentral:lncRNA from 1 species
GCAAACUUCUCACAAAAAAUCAUUUCUCAUUAGUUAAUCCAUUUCUUUACCAUUUUUACGAAAGAUUCACCAAGUCAUUCGUUUUUCGGUAAAGCGACACUGACAUGAGAUAUCAAAUCAACCGGUUCAGUGGUGAUGAUAUAUGUUGGGAUUGAACCCUAUCAGAGGAACAGAUAAUUAGAGCCAAAACUGAAUCAGGUCAGUGGAUCCAGAAUAAGUAGAUAUUAUUCAUACAAGUCUCUCCCCUUGAAAGUGAUUUUAACAUCUACUGACCUCAUAUCUACUGAUCAUACAAACUGCUGACCUACAACUGCUGAUCUAGUCAAAGACUGAUGAAGAACUAAAGCCCUGCUGCCCAAUCUACUGCCUUGAGUCAAGCACUGCUGAUCAUGACAAGUACUACUGGGUUCACAGCAGUGGAAGGAUGCAGCAGUAGUUUUGUUUACUUUAUGUAAUGUAUUGUAAUAUCAGUAGUUAGCAUAGCAGAGGUUGUAUAGAUCAAAGGUUAGAGUUUGUUAGGAGGUUAGAUGUCACUUUCAUGGUGACGUCAGCUUAGAUACUUCAGUGGUUUGCUCGUGCCUAUAAAUAGAACAGUGCUCUGUACUGUUCUAUUAGCUCUUUCACCAUCUUCUUCCUGCACGAACAAAUACUAUGAGCUCAGGCUGAAGGGGAGUUUGUAUUCAUUCAUGCAUUGUAAUCGUUAUUGAAAUAAAUUCAAUCUUUCGGUUCUUUGUU